rnacentral:lncRNA from 1 species
UGAGGACCAGGAAUGACCCCUGUGGGUGUUCAUGAUGGAUUCGAGAAGCAGGUGAGUUCCUUUAUGGCUCUUUCUACUUCCAGCACCCUGGCGCUACAGUCACAUGGCACACUUUGAGGACCAGCCUCCUCUUUGAGGGGAGAGUUGAAUGAAUCAUUUCUUCUCUCAAGCAUCUAUUUUAAUAGCUGUAUUUGUAAAAAAAAAAUAAAAAUAAAAAUGAAAUCCAAGCUCAUCUAAAGCAAGAGGAGUCACACUGACUUUCUAAUUUAGAGAAUCUUUUCUAAAAUCUUCCAUGACAAAAAGCAAUGUCCUUAGGUGUGGGACCAAGGUAAUUAUGUUAGCUUUGUGUCACUGUGACCAAAAUACCUGAGCAGAACAACUUAGACGGGGGAAAGUUUAUUUGGUUCAUGGUUUCAGAAGUCUCCGUCCAUAGAUAACUGAGUCCGUCGCUCUGGUCAAGGUGAGGCAGCGCAUGGACAAAGAGCAUAGCAGAGAAAAGCAGCUCACCUCACAGUGACAAAGAAGCCAAGGCCCGGGGAGUUUGCCCACAGGGAAAAUGCACCCUUCCAGGGCAGCCCCCAGACACCCACCUCAGUUACCGCCCGGCCACACCACCCACCUACAGUUCCCACCCAGUCAGUCUGUUCAAGCUAUGAUGGACUGACGAGGUUACAGCUCUCCUCAUUCACUCAUUUCACCUCCAAACACCCCUGCAACAACAAAGAAGCUUUUGGGGGACACCUUAGAUCCCAACCAUAACAGUAAAAGAUGUGCCCCCUGAGGAUAUCUUCAUAUCUUCAACAGUCAAGAGGGCCAAAGACGCCCCUAACCCGAUGUAAAUGAGCUUAGUAAAGAGCAGAAUUCGUCCACUCAAUGGCCAAGUGAUUGAGAAAGGCAGGAAUAGAACCAACUUCAGAAAUCACUGGAAUCCUCAGCCGUCUCUUUCUCUCAUGGCGCCUCACGUUGGUUUAAUUUCCUUCAGCUUUACUUUUCUACGUCCCACCGCCAGCACUCUGACGAUGAGAAAAGCAGGCUUCUCUCCCUGGGUUCCCAUUCGAAAACAUCCCAGAGGAGGGCUGCAAUUUCCCUGGCUUGGCACAUGUGCUCAUCCUUUCGGCCAGACGGUCAAGUUCUGUUACCAUGAGACAAGGAAAGGCACUGAGCAGACAAAAGCAAUAGACAUCGACCACGAUUCACCCCAUUGCAGCUCCUGCUUUGUACUGCUUCCUGAAAAGGUGCUUCCCGAAGUGUACUUUCUAGCCACAGUGGCCACAAAAUCACCCGAAAUGGCCUCAUCUGUUUCACCCUGACCGACUCAUGGGUCUUUCUCAAGUAGGCGUACGUUUAUACAAUUGAAUCUUUUUUUAGUGAAGUAUUCUAUCUAGAGAUCUGAAUUUUAAUCUAAGUGAAUUGUUUCAGGUUAUUCUAGGAGAGCUAAAAGUCAUUGCUGUCAAUCACCACACUAGUCAAUGUACUUUCUCUGGUUCUUAGAUGUACCCGGGGAGAAUCCUUACCAUAAAAGUCAUUUGUGAUAAUGUGCUGCCCACACUGACUUCCACAAACUUAGACUUCCUCAACCUCAGAAACCACUAACUUCCAAAAAUGGUGACAUGCUGGAACCAUGAGCCAUAACCCCCAUACUCCCGCCCUGCUCCUCUGACUUCCAAGCUAGAUGAAUAGGAGGGAGAAGAAAUCGGUAGAUGGGGAAAAACUUGGGAAUUCUCACUAAUAUUCUCCAAUUUGGAGUGAAGUUGAUGCAAGCAGUGAUUGUGUAGCCCGGGGAAAAUGUGCAAAAAAACAAAAACAAAAACCCUUGCCAACUCCAACUGACCACCCCAGGGACUGGGCAGUCACUGGAAUGGGGAAAGAGGUCUCAGAGCUGUAACAACAGCCUCUAGGACUCAGAGCUGUGCUAGAGGAAGGUCAAAGAAGGGUCUCCCACACUCCCAGGAAAAAGAUACACACCCUCCUACUUGUGGAGGAAGCCUGAAAUGAUCCAACAAACAACAUUGCAGAUUAGCGUUAGACCCAGACCUCAGGCAAGGCUGCCCUCAAACUCACUUUCCCCUCCCCACACUGCAGCGCUAGGUCACGGGAGGGCAAAGACCUGGGAAGCUGUUCUAAGAACACAGCUAUUCAGGGAAGGCCACAGGCCCAGACAAGUUCAGAAAGGAAACAAAUUCUGAAAACAGAAAAAGAGGGGCUUCUCAUGAACACCAAGACCCAGUGUUUCCACAGGUGCAUCUUCCAACCUUUCAAAAACAUGUCUAUUUGAUGCCACUUAAACUAUUUCAGUAAUGAAUAUCUGAAAAGACCAGAAUUGGAAAAGGACACUUAGAACAAUUACAAGUUCAGAGGGUAUCACAGACCAGUGACUAAAACAUAUGACACUGGUCAAUUAAAAGUACAUGAGUGUCAGUGUGCUGGUACAUGCCUGUAAUCCCAGCGGCUCAGGAGGCUGAGGCAGGAGGAUCACAAGUUCAAAGCCAGCCUCAGCAACUUAUCAAGACCCUAAGUAACUCAGUGAGACCCUGUCUGGGGAUGUGGUUCAGUGGUUAAAUGACCCUGGGUUCAAACCCCAACACCAAAACAACAACAACAAAAGUACAUGAGUGUACAUUUGUGAGUGGCAAGUGCUAGUGGCAAUACAAACCAGAGAUAGUUCCAGAGAAAUCACUACUUCUCCACUUGGAUAGUUAGGUUCACUGAAACUAAAUUUUUCAAAAAAAGUUGCAAACCUGGAAGUUUAUAUUUAAUACUCCAACUGUAAAAUGUCAAUAAGACCCUCAAAAUACAACUGAAUGUGGCCCCCAAUCCAAUUGUUUCUGACCCUCUCCACUGAGGAAUUAUACCUUCAAUAUUGACCCAAAAUCUUUUUUUAAGCCUGACAUGAUGGUACACACCUGUAAUCCCAGUGACUCGGAAGACUGAGGCAGGAGGAUCUCAAGUUCAAAGCCAAUCUCCGCAAUGUAGUGAAACUCUUGUCUCAAAAUAAAAAAUAAAAAGGCUAAAAAUGUAGAUCAGUGGUAUAACACUUCCAGGUUAAAUCCUCAGUACUCACUUCCAUCCCUACCCUGCCAAAAAAAACCCUCUUUUUCUAAAAACCAGCAUAUGAAUUUUAGUAGUACAUUUUAAAAAAUAAAAAUAACUAAGUGGGAUUCUUCCUAGAAUAAAAAUUAAUUCAAUAUUAAGAAAUCUAUUAAUAUGACAUAUUAGCAAAUCAAAGGAAAGAAUGCAUAAGAAUAUCCCAAUAGGUACUUUACAAAUUCCAAUAUACAUACUUAAUUUUUAAAACAAACAAAAUUAGCUCUUAACUGAGCAGAAAGUAGUAGAUUUCCUAGACUGCUCAGAACUUUUGAUUUCAAGAAAUAUAACUCAACCAUCUUAAAGGGAAAAAAAAAAGAAUUUAUUGGCUCACAUAUCUGAAAAAUCCAAGUGUAUCUUUGCUUUAGACCUGGCUGGAAAUCAAAAUUUAAACAGGUCAGUACCGACGGGCUUGCCAAGAUUUAUCUCUGCUUCUCUUUCCUGUUGGCCUCAUUCUUCCUGACUGCAGAUGGCCCUUCUCCUUAUAGCUAAGAAAGAUGACUGAGAGAUGUUUGAUUCAUGCUUAAAACCUAAAAGUACUAAAGAAGAAUAAAGAUAACCUCUGCUUUCAGUCUUAGUGGUAAUUUCAAGGUGGAUUCUAAUUGGUGCACACACACAUUCUCUCUCCUGAGUAGAGAGAAUUAAGUACCACUAGCUAGGUGUCAUUAACUACUCUAGGAGUUCAAGGACUAUUAGCAUACAAACCACCUGAAAUGAGUAGUGGGUGGUUUCUUAAAGAAAUAGAUGCCAAAUAAGAGCAACAGUAUGUCCUCUUUAUUUAUUCAUUCAUUGUUUAUUUAUUUUUGUCGUGCUGGGCGCCCAGGGCCUUGUGCUUGUGAAGGCAGGCACUCUACCAACUGAGCUAUAUCCCCAGCCCUCCUUUAAUUUACAUAGUAGGAGAAAAUGUGUGUGUGUUUGUCAAAAAGAGUAAUGACACAAUAUAUGUAAGCAAUGUUUCUUUAACAUUAUUCUGGAAAAACUUCCUAAUAUGCUAGACCAGAGAAAGAAGAAUUAUAAAUGCUGGACAGAUUUUUUUAUAUGCUGAUGACAUGAAUAUAUAACUUGAAAGCAUAAAAUUUCAACUGAAAAAAAAAGUAGUCGAAACAAUAAGAGAAAUAAGACACUUAGAAGUAUACUCAAACAAAGAAGUGUGACAUUUGUACUGAAAACUACAAAACAUCAUUGGAAAAAAAUUUAAAAGACCCAAAUAAAUGAAGACAUCUCAUAUUCAUGGAUUGAUGACAACAUUGUUAAGAUGGCAGGCAGUAAGUACUUCCCAGAUUGAUCUACAGAUUCAAUGAACUAUCAAAAUCUUGAUUGGUUUUGUUUUUUUGGGUUUUGUUUGUUUGUUGUAGAAACUAAUAAGCAGAUCCUAAAAUUCAUAAGAAAAUGCAAGGAACUUGAAAUAGAACAACUUUUAAAAAGAAAAACAAAAUCAGAGGAUUCAUAUGCCCUGAUUUCAAGACUUACUACAAAACAAUAGUAUGAUACUGGUGUAAAGAGACACAUAGAGAUCAAUGGAUAAAAUCAAAAGUCCAUAAAAAAACUCUCACAUUUUGAUAUCAAUUGAUUUUCACCAAGGGUAUCAAGAUAAUUUAAUAGGGAAAGAACAGUCUUUUUUUAAAAAAAAAUGUUUCUGAAACAAUUGAUUAUCUACAUGCAAAAUAAUCAAGUUGUAUCUUACCUUACAAUGUAAUCAAGAAUUAACUCAUCCUGGAUCAAAGACUCAAAUUUAAGAACUGAAACUAUAAAAUUCAUAGAAGAAAACAUAGACAUAAAUCUUCAUGACCUUUGAUUGGAUAAUGGCUUCUUAAACAUGAUACCCAAAGCACAUGCAAUAAAAGAAAAAAAAGGUAAAUUUAACUUUAUCAAAACUUAUAAAUUUUGUGCUACAAGGGACAUUACCAAAAAAGUGAAAAGUCAGUCUACAGAGUGGGAGAGAAUAUUUUUAAAUCAUAUAUCUGACAAAGGACUUUUAUAUAGAGUACAUAAAAAUCUCAAGUUCAAUAAUAAAUUGACAACUCAGUUAAAAACUUGACAGCUGGGAGCAGGGGUGCACACAUGUCAUCCUAGAGACUACAGAGCCUGAAGUAGGAGGAUCACAAGUUCAAGGCCAACCUAAGACAAGCCCCUGCCUCAAAAUGAAAAAGGCUGGAGGUGUAGCUCUGUGAUAGAGCAUGCUCAGGUUCAAUCCCCAGUACCAAAUUUAAUUAAUUAACUGAUUAAUUAAGAAUAAAUAAAUCAAAUAAGGUACACUGAAUUUUAUACUUUUAAAGGGUAAAUUUUGUGGUGAGCUCUAACUAGAAAAAUUAAUUUAUUUUUAAAUAAGACAAUUCUAUAAGGUGUUACACAACUGAUAUGUAAAAAAAAAAAAGUUUUUCUAUUGAAAUGGUAACUCAAAGCAAGGUCCAUUUUUCAUCCUUCAGAUUGGCAGAGUGGCUAGCAAGGGUGACAGAACUUGGUACUCUCCUCAAGACGAAGCAACGUCGAUUCAACAUUUUGGAGUGGUGUUUGGGCAAUAGCUACCAACAUUUCUUGAAUUUGUGGAGCACUCAGGUGUUACAAAGCCAGAAACUUAGCCUACAGUUACUCUGACUGAAGAGCAUCAAGAUACAUGCCCAAGAAUGCUCACUGCAGUCUGCUGGUCAUAGCAGAAAAUAAGGGAGGAGUGAGACAAAACAAAUAGAAACAAAGUAUCUAGCAGCAAGAAACAGAUUAAAUAACUUACACUAAGAAAUACUGGGGCGUGACACUGGCCAAAUCGUAUGGAUAUAUUGUGUGCAUGUACGAAUACAUAACAACAAAUUCCACCACUGUGAACAUAAUGCACCAAUAAAAUAUAUGGAAAAUAAAUAAAUAAACAAAUAACUUAACACUACAUCCUCUUCCUCCCUGAUCCUGAUGCCUCCAGCAUCAUCUCUGGCUGGAAUUUUCCAGUAGCCUCUAAAUGGUGUUCAUGUGUCCUCUCUCAUCUUCCCCACCUUGGCCAAGUUAUUCCUCAUUCUGAAGCCAGAGACAUCUUUCCAACAGAUUGUUUUAGAUACACACACACACAAACACAAAUACUGCUUAAUAUGCCUUCAAAGUCUUUCCAGUGCUCCAAGAAAAAAACAAAACAAAACUUCUUAUAAUUGCCUAUGAGGUACUGCCAGCUGCCACGGUUUGGCCUACCUGUCUCUCUUUUCUCGGGUCCAGAUUCCAGUCUCAAUUUUGCUUCUUCAUACAAUGUUACCUUACCUCAGGACCUUUGCACAUGCUAUAUUAAAUGUUUGUUUCUUAUUCUUCUGUAUGUGCUUUUUGUAUGUGAGAGAACAUAUAAAGUCCUUUCUUUCUUUCUUUGUUUCUUUGUUUCUUUUUUUUACUUUUUACUUUACUAUAAUUAAAAAUAUACAGGAUGCCAUAAGCUACCUAAAAGCAACAACAAUCCCAUUAUUCCUAUUGCUUGCUUGCUUGGCCUUUCCCCAAUGCAGUUACAUUCUGACAUGAUCUUAAAUUGUUUAUUGUCCAGACAGCUAACCCUACUGCCCUUAUUUACUGACAUUCAAUACUUAGGGCUCCAGCCUAACAAGGGCUUUUCUUCUUUUCAUUUUCAAAAGAAAAGAAACCCAGCUAGCAGAUGCCUCUUUUGCAGGCCUUCUGGCCACCCCCACAUAUGUUAUCAGCUGGAGGGAAAGACAAACUCAGCAUUGUAGUCCAAGUCCCUCCAUUUGAGCAAUGCAGAGAAUCUGCAGUCAGACUCCAAAACAUGCAGCUUAUCAGCUUAUUGGUCUACAAAGCAAAUUUUUUUUUGUAAAUUAUAUUAUGGUUUAUUCUUAAUAGUCUACCACCAAAAAAGGCAUGAAGUAGGUACCAAAUGUAGCCUAAAUCCUGUGUAUUGCUUAUUUCUCUGAAGGAUUGUCCUUGAAUGGCAAUAAUUUGGACAGCCUUUUCAAUAUUAUAUAUUAAAAAAAAUUAACUGGUCACCAAAUUCUAGCACCAUGUUGAAAUGGAAAAAUAGUGACCUAGAACGCCAUUCUCUAGGGAAUGUAUACACAGAGAAAGAUAUUGGGGUGGGUUUUUUAAAACCAUGCCUUCCCCCAAAGUCAGUAACUUUUAUUUUAAAGUUGUCUUAGUCCAUUCAUGCUGCUGUAAUAAAAUGCCGUAAACUAGUGACUUAUCAACAUAAAUUUCUUCCUCACAGUUCUGAAGGCUGGAAAAUUCAAGAUCAAGGUGCCAGAAAAUUCAGUGGAGGGGUGUUUGUAGGACUUGGGUUAUUUGCAGGUUUUUUGUGAACCCUGGGCUAUGAGUUCAAAACCUCACUUGCACAGUGUGUUGCUUAUUGCUCUGAAGGAUUGUCCUUGGAUGGCUCAUUUAGGAAAUGCUGGAUUUAAGAGUUCACCAGGGCAGAUAUCUGGCAAGGUGCAACUUGAGAGACACAUUCUGGAAGGUUUUUGCAACAUAUACUUGAUUUGGAAAAAUAAAUAAAGAACCCUGCCAAACAGUUCUCCAAGUGACCUUGCACCAACCCAGGUCUCUCCCCUUUCUCACUGACAGUUGUCAAGAGUAAUUUUGAGGAUGUGCUGAGAAGGCAACACCAGGAGAUACAGAAUUGCCAUCCAGAGCAGCCUGAGCUCGGCUCCAAUCUCCCUCCAGAAACAGGAUGCCCUCUCUUACUUCAGCCCAGCAACUCACAUCGACCCAGUGUAUGAAACCCAGGAUGGGUUCCUUCCUCAAGUCCCACAGCUGUGGUGCAAGUGGAGCAGGUAGGGGCAGGCUGCAACAAAUCCUAGGUUUCUAUGUCCCUUUUACGUAUCUCUAACGAAUAAACCCAUUUUACACAGCCUGUUGUCUACAAGUGUGUUCUGCCUCUCUGCAUUAGGGAGCCAGUGCACCAUGAACUUGCUUCACGCACCCUAGUUGCAACAGCAUCAUGGAAGCCAAGCAUGGAAAGUUCUGGAAAGGCUAGGAUGAGCCUCAGGCCCCAGUGAUCCGGAGAGGCUUCCUGGUAAACAACACGUGAUCUGCAAAAGAAGCCUCUCUCAGGAGAAGGAAGGGAUGACUCCAGACUGCAGGAGAGGGGGAGAAGAUAAGCAAAAGAAUCAGGAAGUCAGUUUCUGCUGCUUCCCAGAAACUUGGCAAUGAGGAGGAGGACUGUGACUUUACCCUAGAAGUGCAGCAAGGUGCCCAAAGCUUCAAGAGAAGGCAGGCCCAUGCACAUGGGGAAGCAUGAGGGGAAGAGGGAGAAGGAAGGCAGAGGACAGGGGAUCACAGGCCCAGGACAAAUACUGGAUCUGAGCCAGGGAAGGGGCUUCAAAGACAGAAGAACACAUUUUCCUCUGCAAAGGUAAAAACUGAGGACUUGGAAACUGAGGUAGAUGAGGCCUAGAAAGGAUCAGACUGGAGGUCAAACACAAGUGGGCUUGCGCUCUGACUUGUCUGUUUCCAGGAUGUGUGGAUCUGGAUAGAUCAUGGCAGACUGCAGUCAUCUUCUUCACGUACACACAGCUUUCCUUUUCUUUAUGGACCUUCCCCACCCCACGCCCUGCCCCUGACAGGCUCUCUCUAAGUUGCCCAGGCUGGCCUGGAAUUUGUCAUCUUCCUGUCUCAGCUUCCCAAGUAGCUGGGAUUAUAUGCAUGCACCACCACAUCCAGCUUCAUAUAUAGGGUUGUUUUUCUGUUGAGGGCCACAGCCGAGUCGGGAUGACGCAUGGCAUUUUUGCCAGAACGGAGUGGUUGAGAGGUGAUGCCAACAAGCCACUGAGAUGAUAAUGGUUAUGUUAAGCUGUGUAUAUUAGACCCCUGCUGUCCGCCUCGGCCUGCUACUUUGGAGUUCUCACGGGGAUUCCCGGAGAGUUCCCAUUGGUUG